AUGGCUGAUAGGUCUGGAAGUUCAAUCUCUAUCGCAACAGAGCAAGUCAGAGAGAUAUAUAUCUGGACUUUUGUCCUUCUUUCUUCAGUCUCCAAAAUCAAGACUUCCUUCAGCUUGAAUCUCCAAAGUACAAGAGAGGAAAACUCCUUCUUCCCUCUUUCAAGUGUGCUCUGUCUGCAGCUGGAAUCAAAUGAGGCAUUCUGGAUUAAUGUCAUGCCAAUGGGAGGGUAAUCAUAUGAACAGGUCUGAUUUGGAUGGAAUAAAGACCAAUAAUCUAGCUACAGGAGUCCCAUGGCUUAGACCCUUAUAUCCAAAUCUCCAGGGAGUACCAGAACUUCUUUGUCAUUCCCAAGGACAAAACUAGCAAGAUAAACCUAUGGGUGAAGAAGUUCUCUCAACAAGUCCAGAGGAAUUUGGCUCUCUCUCCUCCCCCACCCCCCCAGAUAUGGGGAUAACUGGUCUAGAAAGAGAUUCCUGCUGCCCUGGCUUUCUUCCCUGAAUGGCAGGAAAAUCCAAUGAAUUGGAUAUUGACAUAUUAACAGGGAAUUAAGAAAAACCACGAAGGGUUGGGAGGUGUUUUAUGAGGAAGACUUACCUCCUAGACCUUGAUCUAUAGUCUUUCAACUCCAUGAGACAUUGAUUAUGAACAUUUAUACCUAAUAUGCAUUUAGGAAGGGGCUUCAGGACCUAGUACAAUGUGAAACCAAGUUAUCUUUCUACAUAUGAGGAACUGUUUUGAGCUCUAAACUUUCCUCAUUUGAGACCUCUAUGGGAAACAAAACAAAACAAACAAAAAUCUCUUUGUUAUGUUUGGGGGCCAUUGGGUUUCUUCCACUUGACAGGAAUCUUUUUAGAACAGCUUCAGAACAGAUCCAACAUCCUCUUGUCUGUAUUUGUCUAUUAUAACUUUAACCCACUAGCAAGAGUCUGACUAUGAUCCCAAACAAAAUUUAUCACAAGAACCAGCAGGUCCUGGGAAGAAAGUCACCAUCCACUUCAUUCUAGGUGGUUCAAUUAUCAAUUCAAUUCAAACUUUAAUUUUUUUCUCAUUCCUUUUCUGAAUGUAUAACCUCAAAAUGACACCCAUUUAAUGGAGUAUGUAUUUGCAUUUGAAAGGAAAGGCUCAGGGACAUUUCUUAUUUAAAAUACAAUGUUAUUGUUUUUUUUUAUAUCACAUAAAUUUUACCUAAAUUUCCUGAUGUAUUACUUACUUUUUCCCCUCCCAGAGACCCAUUCCAUAUAAAAGGAUAUUUGAAGAAAAAAUUUCAGCAAAUUGAG
rnacentral:lncRNA from 1 species